rnacentral:rRNA from 1 species
UCCUCCCUCUGGCGGCGUGCUUAACACAUGCAAGUCGUACGGUAAGGCCCUUUCGGGGGUACACGAGUGGCGAACGGGUGAGUAACACGUGAGUAACCUGCCCACAACUUUGGGAUAACGCUAGUAAACUGGUGCUAAUACUGGAUAUGUGCUCCUGCUGCAUGGUGGGGGUUGGAAAGCUCCUGCGGUUGUGGAUGGACUCGCGGCCUAUCAGCUUGUUGGUGGGGUAGUGGCCUACCAAGGCGGCGACGGGUAGCCGGCCGGAGAGGGUGACCGGCCACAUUGGGACUGAGAUACGGCCCAGACUCCUACGGGAGGCAGCAGUGGGGAAUAUUGCACAAUGGGCGCAAGCCUGAUGCAGCAACGCCGCGUGCGGGAUGACGGCCUUCGGGUUGUAAACCGCUUUCAGCAGGGACGAAGCUUUUUGUGACGGUACCUGCAGAAGAAGCACCGGCUAACUACGUG